rnacentral:rRNA from 1 species
GAUGAACGCUGGCGGCGUGCCUAAUACAUGCAAGUCGAGCGAACAGACCAGGAGCUUGUUCCUCUCACGUUAGCGGCGGACGGGUGAGUAACACGUGUAUAACCUACUUAUCAUACUGGUAUAUUUUCGGGAAACCGGCGCUAAUACCGGAUGAUAUAUUGAACCGCAUGGUUCAAUAGUGAAAGACGGCUUUGCUGUCUCUUAUAGAUGCAUCUGCGCCGCAUUAGCUAGUUGGUAAGUUCACGGGUUACCAAGGCAACGAUGCGUAGCCGAAGUGAGAGGGGGGUCGGCCACACUGGAAGUGAGACGGCGUCCAGGGUACUGCGAGACGCAGCAGUAGGGAAUCUUCCGCAGUAGGCGGGAACCUGACGGAGCGGCGGGACGUGAGUGAUGGCAGUCUUGCGAGCGUAAUACUCGCUUACUAGUGGUGAACAGAUGUGUAAGUUACUGUACACGUCUUGACGGUACCUAGUCAGAAAGCCCCGGCUAACUACGUG